GAAGAAACAACGGUAGUGAAUUACAUUGGUUUUAUUGGGAGCCCUUUGGAUACCACAAAUAUGGAAGAUUUUAAACGGGUGGCUGGAAAGAAAGGAGAUCGGCAUUGAGCAAGGAAUGACCAAAUUUCUUAACAUAAUUUUCGUGUGUCAUGUGCACCCUAAUUUUCGUUUGCCUAAAAGCCUGCCGCACGCUCAAGCUCAGACCUCUUCUUGAUGUGCGGACUAGACUUAAUAAGAAACAUACAUUAAUUGGAUUAGCUUUAUUUGGGCAGAUGUUCCAAAAAGUGACUUUUAGCAUAAUAAGGUUUAGAGUUAUGCAAACUUACAAACAAUGAACUGCUCUUAGGUUUCUCUGUCAAUCCAUGGAAUAAUACAGAACAAUUUGUCAAAUCGAGAGAAACCAACUACUUUCAUUUCUGGAAAAUGCACAAACACAGAAAAUGAAAAGUUCAUACAGUAUUUGCUAAAUUAUUUUAAUCUGAAUGUCAUUUAAAACUUUACGAUAUUUAGCCAAUUACUAACUACUUAAUAACCGAGAGUGAGGUCGUUACGGGAAAUGUAUCAGUCCUGAUUUUGCUUGUUGAUUUUGUUCUUCCUGCCUCGACUAACUGUUGCUGGGUCUCCAAGAGUGUUUUAGAGUACUACAACUCAAAGAAUAUCUCUGUGGAACAUGGCCGGCUGAAAAUGACAUAAUUAUAGGCUGUAAAGAGCAUUAUUUAAAGGAGCUUGACUUAAAUUGCAUGAAGUCCGUAAUGAUCUUAAGCCAUCUCUCCACUUGCUGUUACAAGUUUAAUUACUCGUUUCUUGACUGUUUCGACAUUAGAGCUCUUAAAUAUAGCGUUAAAAGUUCCACUGUCAAAGUUAGUCUCCACUCGCAACGGAGAUACUGACCGCAGAGCAGUUUGAUUCAUGGAGUUGAGGAACUCAGAUAUUCUUCACUGCUGUCGCCAAGAUUUGGACCACUAUUGUCAAUGUGAAAGUCUCCACCAACCAUCAUAACAUGAGCAGGUGGUGAAGAGUUUUGAUUUCUUCAGCUAGCUCUUUAUCCUGUAGUAUUUUCAUCUUUGCUUGGAUGUGAUCCAAAUGUGUGUUAAUAACAAAACGAUGCCGGGCAUUAAUCCAAUAUUUUCCUAUAGCAAGGUCCCUGUACUGCCUAAAGUUUGACAAAUCGAAGGAGGCGUUAUGAUACUGUUUGCUGACAGUCCUUGCAAGGGGGGUGCGACUAAAUGUAACAAUUGCUCCGACAUUUCGAAAAUAUGGAGCAACAAACUCUCCUAGAGAUGUUCUGUAGUUAAAUUCAUGUUCUGUAAUUUCUGUCACGACAAAUGAAGCAAACUUUGAAACGACGACUAUUUCCACAUUAAGAAU